GACGAACGCUGGCGGCGUGCUUAACACAUGCAAGUCGAACGAUGACGACCGAGCUUGCUCGGUCUGAUUAGUGGCGAACGGGUGAGUAACACGUGAGCAACCUGCCCUUCACUCUGGUAUAACCUCGGGAAAUCGGGGCUAAUACCGGAUAUGAGCUCCUGUCGCAUGGCGGUGGUUGGAAAGUUUUUCGGUGAAGGAUGGGCUCGCGGCCUAUCAGUUUGUUGGUGAGGUAGUGGCUCACCAAGGCGAUGCCGGGUAGCCGGCCUGAGCGGGCGACCGGCCACACUGGGACUGAGACACGGCCCAGAAUCCUACGGGAGGCAGCAGUGGGGAAUAUUGCACAAUGGGCGAAAGCCUGAUGCAGCGACGCCGCGUGAGGGAUGACGGCCUUCGGGUUGUAAACCUCUUUCAGCAGGGAAGAAGCGAAAGUGACGGUACCUGCAGAAGAAGCGCCGGCUAACUACGUG
rnacentral:rRNA from 1 species